CGGUGAGGGCGCGCGGCCCGGGAGGCUGCGCCGCCUGCCAGGCGAGGCCAGACGCGGCUUCAUCACUCUGCGCAGAACAGAGCACAGUAAAACUUGCGGACUGUUUAUUUCUGGAGUUUUCCAUUUAAUAUUUUUGGACCUCAGUUGGCGGCGUGACCGAAGCGGCGGGACGCGAAGCCCUGGGCGGGGCUGCUGUGCGGGACGUCCGCGGCAGCGCCGCCCGCAGCAGCCGGAGGAGACGCAGCCCGCGCGGCAGGUGCGCGGACGGACGGCUGCGGCGUGCACACGACGGGGUAGGGCUCCACCGUGGGAAGGACCGAGUGCUGGUCUGUGCGACAGCACGAAGGAAUCCUGAAAAUAUCACGCUAAGUAAAAAAAGGAAGACACAAAAAGAUCACAUGCUGGUGACUUCACUCGUAGGAGACGUUCAGAACAGGUACCUGAAGCCCUGGAAAGGAAAGCCGCAGAUGAGAGGGACUGCUGUGUGACAAUGAGGACAGUCUAGUGUUACUGCAAAGAUAUGCUAGCAGGCCAAUGUAAGAGUACUGUGUCCAGAAACAGCCCAAACGUAUAUAAACAAUUAAGACAAAAAGUGACACUACAGUUCAGUGGGGGAAAAAUUAGUCUUUUUCAAUAAAUGGUGAUGGGGCAACUAAAUAAUCAUGUAGAAAAAAAUGAAUCUUGAUUCCUAUCUCAUACCAUAGACAAAAAUCAAAUCCAGAUAGACUGUAGAUCUAAAUUGGAAAGAAAAACAAUAACCUCUUAUAGGAAAAUAUAUUUGUGACCUUGUUUUAGACAAAAUUUCUUAAACAUGACAGAAAGAAGCACCAAUCAUAAAAAAAUAGCUAAAUUGGACUACAUUAAGUUUAAGGAACUGUUUAUCAAACUACACCAUUAAGACAGUAAAAAGACAAACUAUGGAAUGGGAAAAGAUUUUUGCAAUAAGUAUAAAUGACAAAGGUCUAAUAUCCAAAACAUAGAGAUCUACAAAUUUGUAAGAAAAAGAUUAACAACUCAACAUAAAAGUACAAAAGAUUAGAACACAAACAAGAAUAUUCAAAUGGCCAGAAAACUUGUUUUAAAAAGUGCUAAUCCUCAUUAAUCACCAGGGAAACACAAAUUAAAGCUACAACGAGAUACCCACCUACCAGUAUGCUCAAAACUGACAGGACAUGACACAUGUUGGCAAAUAUUUGGUGGAACUGAAACUGUCAAACACCAUUAGUAGGAAUGCAAAUUGGUACAACUUGGGGAAAUUGUUUGGCACUAUCUAUUAAAGCCAAAUAUAAGUAAACUCUAUAAACAGAUAGGCAUAAACCCAAUGAAAGGGGCACAUAUGCACACAAAGUCAUGUGUGAGAAUAUUUAUAGUGGCAUUGUUUUUAAUAGGCAAAAGCUGGAAACAAUCUAAAUAUUCAUAAACAGGGAUAAACAACAUGAGUAUAUUCACACAAUGGAAUAAUAUGCAGAAAAGAAUGACUAGUACACCUAGAUGAACCUCAUAAUGUUGAGCGAAAGAAACUAAACAUAUUGAUGCAACAUCUGAGCCAAAAAAAAAAAAAAA